UCUCUGCCCGACGUCUCUGCCUGACUGCUCCUUCACAGAUUCCUCUCCUCCUUCUUCUUCGGAAAUAAUUUACCUACUUUUUUUAUUACGAGUUAAGACCAAUCCAUAGCAAACAAGUCAUAUGGUCUGGGAAGGCGUGAAGUCCUCCUCCCCCACCACCACUCCCACGCCAGUGCUGGGAGCCGGGGGCUGCGGGGAGGGCUUGGGGCAGGCCCGGUGCUGGGACCAAGGCUACUGAGGGAGACGGGCCGGGCUGUGCAGAGCCACCGGCACCUGGGCGGGAGGCUUGGGCCUGCCCUGUAGGGUCAGCAAGAGUUCCAAGUAGAAGGAGAACGUGCCCGGAUCUGCAUUUCCAGAAGAUGCCACCUGCUACAGGGUAGAAGACAGAAGAGGGGGGCAGUGAGUGGCACUGGUGGCACCAGGAGACAGGCUCUGACCUGAGAGCAGGCCCCCGGUGGAGCCCUGCUGGCAGCUUCAAAACACGAGAAAGAAAAAAAGAAAAAUGAUAGAAUCAAAAGGAGAAAUACACGAAUCCACAGUACGGUUAGGGACUUCAGCGCUCCUCUGUCAAUAAUUGAAACAACAAAGAGACAAAAACCCAGCAAGGAUAGAAGAAGUUGUCGAACAACACCAUCAACUAACUUGGCCAAACUGUCAUUUACAGAACACUCCACCUGAUAACAGCAAAAUACACAUUCUUCCUGGGCAGGCGCUGAACAAAACAGACCAUAUAUCCUGGGCCAUAAAACUAACCUUAACAAAUUUAAAAGGACUGAAUUCAGGGGCGCCUGCGCAGCUCAGUAGGUUAAGCGUCCGACUUCAGCUCAGGUCACGAUCUCAUGGUUCGUGGGUUCGAGGCCCACGUCAGGCACUGUGUUGACAGCGUGGAGCCUGCUUGGAACGCUCUCUCCCCCUCCCUCUCUCUGCCCCUUCCCCACUUUCUCUCCCUCUCCCAAAGUAAAUAAAAAGUUUAAAAAUACAUAAAUAAAAGGACUGAAUUCA